rnacentral:rRNA from 1 species
UCAUGACCUCAAAUCAGGUAGGAAUACCCGCUGAACUUAAGCAUAUCAUA